UACGAAGGGGGCUAGCGUUGUUCGGAAUUACUGGGCGUAAAGCGCACGCAGGCGGAUUGAUAAGUCAGGGGUGAAAUCCCGGGGCUCAACCUCGGAAUUGCCUUUGAUACUGUCUGUCUUGAGUCCGGGAGAGGUGAGUGGAAUUCCUAGUGUAGAGGUGAAAUUCGUAGAUAUUAGGAAGAACACCAGUGGCGAAGGCGGCUCACUGGCCCGGUACUGACGCUCAUGUGCGAAAGCGUGGGGAGCAAACAGG
rnacentral:rRNA from 1 species